AGGAAGGGAGGAAAGAAGGAAAAAAAGAAAGAAGAAAUUUCUGUUUUUUAGAAGCACUGCUCUGUGGUAUUUUGUUAUAGCAGCCUGAACAGACAAAACCACCAUGCUGCCUCCCUGGCCUAUAAUAAUACAGCUCUCUCCUGGAGCUCUGUGAUAUUGUGGUUUAUAUUAAGAAAUAUAUAUUUGGUCCUCCUCCCUGGUUCCUGGCAAAUAACUCCUAAAACCUUUGUAAUUUCUUAAGUGAUAAGAGUUAUAGGGGCAUCUCUCUUUCUCAGCUUCUGAAAUAGCUCCAGAAUGAAAUGGAUGUCUUUUGUUAUUCAUAACAAGCCCCUUUCAACCACAUCUGAAUUUAUAUUAAUACAAUGACUUUUGGAAAGUCCCUAAGGAUACUGGGGGCUGGUUGCCAGGGGAACCAACUGUGUGAUUAGAGGGUUGGAACUUUCAGUCCCACCCCACUCUGACCUCUGGUGAGGGGAGAGGAACUACAGGUUGACUCAAUGGCCAAUGAUUUAAUCAAACAUGCAUUCUUAAUGAAGCCUGCAUAAAAACCCAAAAAGGAUGGAUUUGGAGAGCUUCCAGCAGCCUUAACUAUCAUGGCUGUAGGUCAUGCCUGUCCAACCACAAGCCACAUUGUCCAGCCUCCUUUGCUGCGGAGUGUUUCAUGUGACUGAGCUCUUGAUACUGGAAUGCAUCAGAAGCUAUUUGUGCCCUUCUGGACUAUGCUUUCAAGGGACUAGACAUUGUGCACCUUUCCUCCUUCUCAUGGGCCAGGAUGGUGACAAGCAGAGUGACCUUAGAAGCCACACGUUUAGGAUGGCAGAAACUCUGUUCUGCCAAGUCCCUGAAUGACCUGGAGUUCAUGGAGCUGAACCCUUCCAAGCUGGAACACCCCUCUGAACCAUGUCGUUAGAGAGAAAUAAAGCUUCUAUUAUGUUUGAAUGAUUAUAUUUUAAGGUCUAUGUUUUCAAACGAGUAAGUCAACUUUAACUAAUUAGUUAUGAUCUUCAAAAAUUAGAUACUUUAUUUUUCCCCUGGAAGUAGGCUUGAUGUUAUUUAUUGGCUAAUUUAUUAAGUUUUUGUUCUUCUGAAAUAAACCUUUUUUUGAAUGUA